GUGUGAUUCGUCACACUAUCAUUAACUGAAUCCAUAGGUUAAUGAGGCGAACCGGGGGAACUGAAACAUCUAAGUACCCCGAGGAAAAGAAAUCAACCGAGAUUCCCCCAGUAGCGGCGAGCGAACGGGGAGGAGCCCAGAGCCUGAAUCAGCAUGUGUGUUAGUGGAAGCGUCUGGAAAGGCGCGCGAUACAGGGUGACAGCCCCGUACACAAAAGCGCAUGUGCUGUGAGCUCGAUGAGUAGGGCGGGACACGUGGUAUCCUGUCUGAAUAUGGGGGGACCAUCCUCCAAGGCUAAAUACUCCUGACUGACCGAUAGUGAACCAGUACCGUGAGGGAAAGGCGAAAAGAACCCCGGCGAGGGGAGUGAAAAAGAACCUGAAACCGUGUACGUACAAGCAGUGGGAGCACCCUUUGGGUGUGACUGCGUACCUUUUGUAUAAUGGGUCAGCGACUUAUAUUCUGUAGCAAGGUUAACCGAAUAGGGGAGCCGGAGGGAAACCGAGUCUUAACCGGGCGUUAAGUUGCAGGGUAUAGACCCGAAACCCGGUGAUCUAGCCAUGGGCAGGUUGAAGGUUGGGUAACACUAACUGGAGGACCGAACCGACUAAUGUUGAAAAAUUAGCGGAUGACCUGUGGCUGGGGGUGAAAGGCCAAUCAAACCGGGAGAUAGCUGGUUCUCCCCGAAAGCUAUUUAGGUAGCGCCUCGUGAAUUCAUCUCCGGGGGUAGAGCACUGUUUCGGCUAGGGGGCCAUCCCGGCUUACCAACCCGAUGCAAACUGCGAAUACCGGAGAAUGUUAUCACGGGAGACACACGGCGGGUGCUAACGUCCGUCGUGAAGAGGGAAACAACCCAGACCGCCAGCUAAGGUCCCAAAGUCAUGGUUAAGUGGGAAACGAUGUGGGAAGGCCCAGACAGCCAGGAUGUUGGCUUAGAAGCAGCCAUCAUUUAAAGAAAGCGUAAUAGCUCACUGGUCGAGUCGGCCUGCGCGGAAGAUGUAACGGGGCUAAACCAUGCACCGAAGCUGCGGCAGCGACACUGUGUGUUGUUGGGUAGGGGAGCGUUCUGUAAGCCUGUGAAGGUGUGUCGUGAGGC
rnacentral:rRNA from 1 species